UACGUAGGUUCCAAGCGUUAUCCGGAGUGACUGGGCGUAAAGAGUUGCGUAGGCGGUGUACAAAGCGAGUAGUGAAAUCAUGUGGCUCAACCAUUAUGGCUAUUACUCGAACUCGUACACUCGAGAGUAGUAGAGGUACCUGGAAUUCCCAGUGUAGGAGUGAAAUCCGUAGAUAUUGGGAGGAACACCGAUGGCGUAGGCAGGGUACUAGACUAUUUCUGACGCUGAGGCACGAAAGCGUGGGGAGCGAACCGG
rnacentral:rRNA from 1 species